AUUUGCCCUAAUUUACUGAAGUGGUAAAACAUGAUGACUUAUGUCAAUUUAGUCUUUGCUACCUUGUUAAGCUUAUGACCUAACCAGGGCACCCUGUCCAGCAAACCACAGGCAUUUCUCCCACAUCAAACAGACCACAAAGACUUUGUGAAAAUACCUACAGCAUCAUCAGCGAAAGCCUACACUCUGCACAUAUGGGCAACCGAUGUACCUGAUUACCCGACAGUAACGUGUACAGUUCUCUGGACAGUGUCUGACCUUCAGCAUCUACCAGCCCAUACUGAAGCAAUGCUGUCUUGCAACUCAUCUCCACAACAUGAAAGCUGACAAGAAGAAAGAAGAGAGAAUCUGGGUGACCUCAACGUUUCACAGGCUGGAGAGUACAGGAAUUAUUCCCUCAACAUGAAAGGGAUCCACAUAAAGGUGCCAAAAUAGAUGCCUCUGUUCUCGGAGCUAGAUCUACUUGAACACUGCACCCUAUGGGAGAAGUCACAUGGUGUUUGUGGGAGCAUGGUUGCAACUGGUCAUUGGCACAGAUGGAAGAGGAAUAUAUAACAUCAUGACUCUGUAGUUCAAUAGCAAGCAUGAAGGUCAAGGUUACAUUUCCCCCAGUGAGUGAGUGUGAGUGUGAGUGUGAGUGUGUGUGUGAGUGUGUGCGUGCGUGCGUGCAUGUGUGUUAAGGGUGUGCGGUAUUACCAGUACACCGGUAUAUUGUGGUGCAAAUCUUCAGCAAUACGUAUUGCGAUACGUUUGAAAAUGAAGCAAUAUAUUGGAGCAAAUAUAAAUAAGUAUAUUAUAAGUAUGUAUAUUAUAAGUAUGUUCCUAAUCGAUAUGGAGAUUGAAAAUAGUAUCUUUCUGACACAACUUGCCUCUGACGAUCUGGCAUCUACACAUCGCGACUAUAAAGCUCCUCACAGCAAUAGCCCAUUCGAGGAGCUCUGUAUAUAGACAGUAUAACGAAGGUGUCACGCGCUGGGAAGGAGCUUGAUGGUAUCUGACAUUAAUACAGGGUAUAACUCUGAUUAACUCAUGAAAAUAUAAAUUGGCAAUAUAUUGCAAUACGUAUCGCAAUACAAAGUAUGGCAA